UUUAUGAAAAAAAGCCAAUUAAGUUGCUAGAUUAUUCCCCUUUGUGCUAGUGUAAUGUUAAUAUUUCCUUCAUCAGUCCAGUAUGUGUAUGAGUAAUACACAAGAAAAAAUGAAAAUCCAGUGCACUCGCUUAUCUACUAAACAGUCAUUUUAAUGCUGAACAAUUUUCAGUUUUAUUAAAAACACCUAGGCAAAAAAAUAUAAUGGG